GACGAACGCUGGCGGCGUGCUUAACACAUGCAAGUCGAGCGGUAAGGCCCUUUCGGGGGUACACGAGCGGCGAACGGGUGAGUAACACGUGGGUGGCCUGCCUCUAGCUCUGGGAUAAGCCUGGGAAACUGGGUCUAAUACCGGAUAUGACUCCACGGCGCAUGUUGUGGGGUGAAAGCCUUGUGUGGCUAGAGAUGGGCCCGCGGCCUAUCAGCUUGUUGGNGGGGUGAUGGCCUACCAAGGCGACGACGGGUAGCCGGCCUGAGAGGGCGACCGGCCACACUGGGACUGAGACACGGCCCAGACUCCUACGGGAGGCAGCAGUGGGGAAUCUUGCGCAAUGGGCGAAAGCCUGACGCAGCGACGCCGCGUGAGGGAUGACGGCCU
rnacentral:rRNA from 1 species